GUAUUUGCCUGGCAGAGAAGAUACCAUGAUCAGAAAGGAGACUUUCCCAAGAUGAGGCUCAUUCAUUGCACUCAAGAUAGCUAACCCCUGUAAUUCUCCAAAUUCGGGAAACUUGAUUGCAUAAUUUGUGGUAGUAGAGAACUGCAUUUGUGUUGUCUUCUU